rnacentral:piRNA from 1 species
UGCCAAUUGAGUCUUUCUCUUCCU